GCCUUCGUGGUGUAGUGGUCAGCACGCUCGACGCGUAACCGAGAGGUCCGUGGUUCGAUUCCCGGCGACAGCA
rnacentral:tRNA from 1 species